GGGGAGAAUGUAUACAGCUGG
rnacentral:siRNA from 1 species